rnacentral:rRNA from 1 species
UACGUAGGGUCCGAGCGUUGUCCGGAAUUACUGGGCGUAAAGAGCUCGUAGGUGGUUUGUCGCGUUGUUCGUGAAAACUCACAGCUUAACUGUGGGCGUGCGGGCGAUACGGGCAGACUGGAAUACUGCAGGGGAGACUGGAAUUCCUGGUGUAGCGGUGGAAUGCGCAGAUAUCAGGAGGAACACCGGUGGCGAAGGCGGGGUCUCUGGGCAGUAACUGACGCUGAGGAGCGAAAAGCGUGGGGGAGCAAACAGG